rnacentral:lncRNA from 1 species
CUUUUCUGCCACAUUAUUAGGAGAUGUUUAUUCUACUCUGCAAGCAGUGAUGCAUAAAAAUAUGAUUGUAGAUAUUCAUGUCCUUUUUCAAGCCCAAACACAUACUGAUUUAACCAUCACAUCAUUCAUUAUGACACAUAGAGCAGUGUAAAUAAUUAAUAUUGAUUUCCCUGAUCUUACCUAUAACUAUACAGCUUUCACUAGUACUGACUGACUGAUAAAUACUUUACCUCUGAAGCUCUCUGAUGCUUAAAUACUUAAUUUCCAUUUCAUAGCUCACUAAAAAUAUUGCUGAGAUGCAUACC